UCGCUCCUACCGAUUGGAUGGUCCGGUGAGGUUUUCGGAUUGGUUCUGCUGACCUGGUUCGCCAGGACUCGGAGCCGAGAAGUCAAUCUAACCUUAUCAUCUAGAGGAAGGAA
rnacentral:rRNA from 1 species